GCGAUGUGAUAAGCUGCAGAUGUUGACAAUUAUCCUAUCUAGGCCGUUAUGUUCCUGUCUUCUUUACUCGGUGAACUUGCUGUGACAUUUAGGUAUAUUAACAUGCGCGAAGCUGUUCUUCUUUUGUCAUAUCAUUGUCUAAAUGAUUCCGAGAAAACUACUCUCACACGUGCAUCAAGCAUCGCACGAAAGGCGACAGACGAGCAACUCCUCAAAAGCGCGGUUACCGACAGAUAACGAAUAGAAAUGUUCGCGUUGUUCUUUCGCCAGCUGCCGCAGAAGCAUGUAUUCGUCAUCGUGGCAACAGCAGGAACAAAAGCGGAACCGGCUAGAGCAGCGGCGAGACAAGCUCCAUGGACCAGAGAUACUUAACCACUCCUUUCCGGACUCAAGUCUCAGGUUUUUAGAAUGAACCAAUUGCAGAUUGCCAAAGCUUAUCCAACAGCGCACGUGCAAAUCUGUCUCAAAGCGACAGAGAGGAAUAGCAUAUCACCGAGGACAGUAAGGCCUUUAGACACCCCUACUCUGAGUAGUGCUCCAGCCUGUCUUGAUCUUCUAGCGGGUGAACAGUAUGAACCGAUCCCCACAAACCUUAGCGCCUGGCAGUCAUGGGGCCACUGGUGGCUGCCAGGGCGGCGAUGGCCCAGGUCAGAGGAACUGCGAGACUCACCGGCGUCCCUCGAGCUGUCGUGC